GGACCCAGGAGUGGGUGGUGGAGGUGGUAAUGAACCUCUUCGGACAUGCUGACGUCAGGGGUCUGCGGAGCAGGCAGUCUGUCGUAGGGAGAGGAAGGGAGAGAGAAAAACAUCGAUGCAAGAGAGAAGCAUCGAUAGUUUGCCUCGUGUACAUGCCUGGACCGGGGACUGGUGCCCAGACCAGGGUGAGCGGCACCUGGCAAGGAAGAGACAUUUCGUGGGCACUUGAAAGAUGGAUGAAGUGUCUGUCAUAAUUCCUUGCAUGCAGUUGAUGGCCUCAUUUGUUACUUGUUCUUUUUAAAAGUAUUUACUGAUUUUAGAGAGAGCAAAAAAUUGAUGUGAGAAACAUCAAUUGUUUGCCUCCCAUAGGCACCUGACUGGGGGUUGAACCUACAACCUAGGUAUGUGCCCUGACUGGGACUCAAACCCGUAACCUUUGGGUAAGGGAACAACACUCCAACCAACUGAGCCACGCUGGUGAGGGAAGAUAACGGCUCACUUUUAAUGAGAUCCAAUAUGCCAGCGACUCCGCUCAGCAUCAAACCUUCUUCUUGCAACAGCACCGAGACGGGUUCAGUUCUUGUUCCCAUUAUGUAGGAAAGGAAAUGCGCUCAGAGAACACAGCUGGUAGGUGCAGAAGCAGGAUCUGGGGCUUGCUUUUAACCACAGGGUCAGCCCAGAUACUGGGGGCUGGUCUGGGACUAGUUCAGAACUCAUUAUCCCCGUUUCCCCAAGCCUCUCCCUGUCUGACAAUACUGCAAAUUCACUGUCAUUUAUUUAACCCACCACUGUUUGUUGACCUCUACUAUGAGAUAAUGGGCCAGGCACUGGUGACACAGAAUGGAUCAAAGUGGCUGCAGCCCUGCAGGCGCUUGGUGGAGAGGAAAAGCGGGCUGGUGGGCAGGCAAACGGCACCACACAGUGUGAUAUGUGUUGUAAUGGGGGGUGGUCCUCAUGCAGAGGGAGCCCCGGAGCAGGAGCUCCAGAGUCUGCCUGGUGAGGCGAGAGCAGAUGGGAGGGGAGGGAGCAGGGUACCUCUCAUGUGGCCCAGGCUUGACCCCAGGCUCAUGAGGUCCCACGGAAGAGGCUGAGUAGAUGAACAUGUUGCAAAGUUCCCUGCGCCUGCAGGGGAGUUGGCAGUCGGAGGAGUUAAGGUGGAAUACAGAGGGGAGCAACUUCUGAAAUUACUGCAGGUGCCAGAGGCAGGGAUUUUUUGUGUGUUGUGUUCGCUGGCACAUCUCAAGCACUGGAAUCAGGGUCUGACACAGAGUUGGUGCUCAGUGAAUACUUUGUGAAUGAAUGAAUGAGUGAAUUGGAUGAAUGUUCGAACUUCUCUGGGAGAGAUGCAGGGGACCUGGACUGUUGUGUCAGUGGGGCUGAGGAGGGGCAUGGGUAGGGGCUGGAAUCCAGGGAAGGGGUAGUUGACAGUUGGUGGUCAUGGAGUGGGAGAGUGACUCCCAAGUUUCUGUCUUAAACACGUUUCUGACUCCUGAAGAAAGGAAGAGAACAGGACUGGGAGAGAGGGGGAGUUCAGGCUGGGGCUUGCUGAACCCGAAGUCCAACGGACGGUCCCAGAAAAGGGUUGGAUAUGUGUGUCACUUUAAAAAUUGUAAAAUGCUUCUGAAGCAUGUGUAAUAGUCUGUCCACCUCUUCUUCCAUAUCCCUGAUACUCUGAAAAAAUAUGCAGAGACAUCUUUGAGCGUCGUCAGCGAUCGAAGGUAACGGAAGCCCUGGCAUGAGCAAGAUCAUGCUGAGAGGCUUGCAGGGCAGAGAGCAGAAGGCCAAGGGCAGAGGGGGCAGAGGAGGGAAGCCAGAGCAGGGGCAUGAGAAGGAGCGUAUAGAGAUGGAGGGGGAACCCCAGGAAAAGUGGUGUUGUGGAAACCAGGGAGGAGAGAGGAAGGAGAGAGGGACGGCCCAGAGGGCAGGGGUCUCAGGGAGGGGUGACCAGACCAGCAUGUCGGAGGGGGGUGACGUGGAUUGCAGCAGCAGGAGAGGGGGACAGUGUGAGUUCAGACAGCCUUCGUAGGGCCUGGGCUGUAAGCUAGAGGGAGACAGGAGAGCGUGGGUGGAGAAUGCAAGGUCAGGGAGAGAUGGCCCAGGUUUUUAGGACAAGGGCUUGGGCGGGCCAGAGGGGACCAUUCUCCUUCCCCCAGAGAGAAGGGAGGAGGUGAUGGACAGAGACUUACGUGUGUCUGUACAACUUUUUUGCUUGAUAGUGUGUAUUUUCUCUCGAAAAAUGCUUUUUAGUUCUCUAUCUUUCCAGUUUUUUCUUCUAUCCCAAAUUGUUUAUGAAGUAAGAAUGUUACAAACACGGCACAUAUUAGUGGUAACGGUGGAGCCGCAGAGUGUGGCGCCCUCUCCAGGCUGCACCGUGAGAACCACCAGCAGCGUGCGUGGUGGAACUGGGGGCCCUUUCCGAGGCCGCGGCUCUCAGUGCGGGGAUGUCAGCCCUCGCGCCUCCCCACCUCGCACCUCCCUGAGCUUGUGGACCCGGCUGGUGAUCCACUGGGUGUCCGUAUUCCUUCCAGUAGCCUCAUGGGAUGGAUCGAUGAGGAUGACCUCAAAGACUUUGUACGUGGAAUCUUUACCCACCCAGUAAGAAUUCAGGACUCUCAGAGCCCACGGUGGCGCCCAGCAACAGACUAAAGGCUUCGAACAAACUUCGGCUGGUUAACACCGAAGUGGACAGACUCGCCAUAGGUCACCACAGGGCACAUGAAUCUGAUAUAUAACAUAACCUUGCUUGACCUUGUAUCCCAGCCUGCACGCUUUAUUGGGCCUGGUGGGGCGGUGCAGGGGGCGGGGGUGUCCCUGGGGAAUGCAGAGAGCUGGCGGUUCUGCCAGCAGCGCUCCCUGAGAAGGAAGCGCGUCACAUCCGGCUGCUUCCUCCUCCACAGGUCAAGGGCGCGCUUGGCAACGCCCACCUUGGCCUACCAGACCGCUGCUGGCCAGGCGGAAACGAAGAGCCUUUUCCCACAACCCCUUUUGGGCUCCUCCAUUUUUCCAGUUUUACUGGGAUGUAACUGACAUACAACAUCGCCUGACCGUACACCAGUUUGAGGUGUACAGCACAAUGAUUUGAUGUGUGUACAAGUGCUUAGUGCGAUAAGCUAACAUCUGUCACUCUUAAAAAAAGACUUUUUAGUGGCAUUAUUUGCACAUAAUAAAAUGUCUGUAUUUUAA